GAAAGCCGAGUGCGAUUAACGUCGCCUGCUCGGUUUGGGAAGGGGGCAACAGAAAAGGGCUGAUAAAGUACCUCGCUGGUGCCCUACUUCAU
rfam:Ktedonobacter racemifer DSM 44963 strain SOSP1-21 Krac_Contig204, whole genome shotgun sequence.